rnacentral:rRNA from 1 species
GAACGACUCCUGGCAAUGGAUAUCUCGGCUCUCGCAUCGAUGAAGAACGUAGCGAAAUGCGAUACUUGGUGUGAAUUGCAGAAUCCCGUGAACCAUCGAGUCUUUGAACGCAAGUUGCGCCCGAAGCCUUCUGGCUGAGGGCAUGUCUGCCUGGGCAUCACGC